GUAGGUGAACCUGCGGAAGGAUCAUUAUUGAAUAAACCUAGUGAGUUGUCGCUGGCUCCUUGGAGCAUGUGCACACUUGCUGUUUUUAUAUCUCCACCUGUGCACUUUUUGUAGACAUGGAUAUCUUUCGAGGAAACUCGGUUUGAGGACUGCUAGCUUCGUAUGAAGUCAGCUCUCCUUACAUUUCCUGUUUAUGUUUUCAUAUACUCUUAUAAUGUUAUAGAAUGUCUAUUUAUGGGCUUCAUUGCCU
rnacentral:misc_RNA from 1 species